CGCAAUUAAGGAUGAAAAUUUUCCGAUAGUUACUGAUUUCACAGUGAUUAGAAUACAAAUAAUCACCAUCUUUUGGCUAAGAUUGCU